GAUACCGGCAGCAGGAACCCCUUCUGAAGACCACCUGUUUUGCCCAUCUUCUGUCUUCCGGCAAGAUGCUCUUCAACUCAUCCAAGAGAGGUCUUUCACCUUAAACGUCUCUGAGGAAAGGCAUUCCCUAGCUUCUUGCUACUGACCAUGUUACCAAAUGCGGUUUGUGCGCAAUGCACAGUGAAGCCAAACCAACCAGAGCACCAGAGUCUGGAGCAGAGAAGAGUUUAUUGCAGGGCCAUGCCAGGAGAAGAGGUGGCUCAUGCACCACCACCGCCCCAAACUCUGAGCUCCCUGAAGGGUUUCAGCAAAGCAGUUUUAAAGGCAAGGUGAGAGAGUGGCAGCCCAGGCUAUGUGAUCCGUUCAUGCACAGACCUCUGAUUGAGCGAUGUUGAAAUCACAGGGCAAUUGGCACCAUUAACCCUUGGGGACCAGAACAUCUGGGGGCUACCUGCCCAUAAUCAUCAAGUAGUUACUUUCUUCCAUUUGGUGAUGGCUUUAGUGUCUGAAAAACAGCUCAGGAGGUUUUUCGGAGUCUUAAUUGUCAUGGAAGAAAGUUGAUGAAAGCACUUUUUAAAGACAUCAGUCCCUUGCAAAAUGAGCCCUGCAAGAAGAAAGAAAUGUAUGAAGAUGUUGAAUUAUUAAUGAUGACAUUUCAGGCACCUCUGAAAGGAAGAUUGGGAUUAGUGUGAACUUUGCCCACAUCCCUCCCAAUAACAUCAUGCUUGUAAGAUCAAUUAUGGCAGCCGGCUAUAAACUUCAGGAAACCAGCAUCUGACUCUCCUUAAUAGCUCCCUUGUUUUGGCCAACUAAUUAAAUGUCUCUUUGCCUUGUU